CCUGACACCAGGCACUGUCCCUUGCCCAGCGGAGAGAGCCGUGCCGCCGGCAGGAGGAGGGCAAGGUGUGGGUGGCACAUCCCCCGUCCCUGUCCCCGUCACGCUGCCUCUCAUUACGGACACGGCGGGGCCCAUCACCCUCCCACCGCGCGGCAAUUAAGGGCUGCCAACACCGGCAGUUAAUUAGCGCCGGCGAGAAAUCCCGCUCCGGCCCUGAUUGAUGGCUGGCUGCGAGGGACUCCAGCGGCACGGCACAAUUACGGAGCAUUUAGAGCAGGAGGGGUCAACGCUCGGCUACGGCUGGAAGAGUCGGGGUGGCCAGGUGGGGGCUCCAGCUCAGGGAGGCUCCCUGGGGCUGCACCAGUUCUCUCCAGGGGGAAAUUCAGGCCCUUUCCCUGCCUAAGAGAAAAGGUGAAUUAAGAGAUGAAAUGCCGGAUGAGGAGGAACACCAGCCCGCCGAGCCCGGCAACAGCC